ACUAAUGGUCAUUGAUUCGGGGUAAUGUCAACCAUUGCGCUAAAGCUCUUUACCGACGCUGCACGUUAUUCUGCACGUUAACUCAUUCUGAGUUCAAUCUCUAGUCUAGAUGGUGUUCGAUUACUUUUGUUUUGCCUCGUGCAGCCUGUAGGGGAAUAGCGUGCUUGCCGUCUCCUCGGCCAUUUCAACUUUGGACUUCAACUUUCUAUAAAGUGUCUCCUCUGCACGGUCCAGGGCCUCCAUGGUGUGGAGGGGCAGCUCCAAGGGCUCCAAGGAGGCCAGUCCCACAGACACAGUCUGUCCACACUUGCAGGAGUGGACGUAUUGCCUGAAUUCCUCCCGCAGUUCCUUCACCUCCUUGGACAACUCCGUCACCGCAGUCAGCAGUUUCUGCAUAGCCACAUCUAUUGACAAAGAAAAUAAUAACAUUUGAAUGUAAAAGCUGACGCCCUUUUACUUAAAAAUUUCAGAAAGUGUUGAACAACUUUUGAAGAGUUAUAUAUAUUUAAGCAACGCCAUUGGUUUAAGCUAAUUGUUGAUAGAUGGUACAUCCUUCAAUGAUUCAAAGAAUUGAGGAAACAUUUACACAUGAAUGAAAGCCUAGAAAUAGCCUUAGAACAUAACAUUCCUGUACUUGCCUUUUAACGUUCUCCAUUGGCUCGACCGUCGGUCUCGAGUCCCUCCUCGCGUGCGGAGGCCACAUCCAAUCUAAUGCACAAAAGUAUUUUAUGUGGAAAAAAUGACUUAUGCCUAUUGUUGGGGAAAAUAAACAUUCAUUCAUGUUUAUUGA